UACGUAGGGGCCUAGCGUUGUCCGGAUUUAUUGGGCGUAAAGAGCUCGUAGGCGGUUUGGUGAGUCGGGUGUGAAAUCUCCACGCUCAACGUGGAGGGGCCACCCGAUACUGCCAUGACUAGAGUCCGGUAGGGGAGUGUGGAAUUCCCGGUGUAGCGGUGAAAUGCGCAGAUAUCGGGAGGAACACCGGUGGCGAAGGCGGGUCUCUGGGCAGUAACUGACGCUGAGGAGCGAAAGCGUGGGGAGCGAACAGG
rnacentral:rRNA from 1 species